UGGGGGAUAUUGCACAAUGGGCGAAAGCCUGAUGCAGCGACGCCGCGUGGGGGAUGAAGGCUUUCGGGUUGUAAACCUCUUUCGCUAUCGAACAAGGCCCGCUUAGGGUGGGUUGAGGGUAGGUGGAGAAGAAGCGCCGGCUAACUACGUGCCAGCUGCCGCGGUAAUACGUAGGGCGCGAGCGUUGUCCGGAAUUAUUGGGCGUAAAGGGCUUGUAGGCGGCUUGUUGCGCCUGCUGUGAAAACGCGGGGCGUAACUUCGCGCGUGCAGUGGGUACGGGCAGGCUUGAGUGUGGUAGGGGUGACUGGAAUUCCAGGUGUAGCGGUGGAAUGCGCAGAUAUCUGGAGGAACACCGAUGGCGAAGGCAGGUCACUGGGCCAUUACUGACGCUGAGGAGCGAAAGCAUGGGUAGCGAACAGG
rnacentral:rRNA from 1 species